rnacentral:tRNA from 1 species
GCCACCGUGGUCGAGCGGACGAAGACGACGGAUUGCAACCCCGUGCCCGUGAGGGUUCGCCGGUUCGAAUCCGGCCGGUGGCUCCA